AGAAGGCGUUUUUUCCGCAAGGUCGCUCUGGGCAAAAGUUCAGCCAAUUGCAAGGAAUAAACCACCGGAGUGACAGUAUCCGUGCUGUUUAGGACCUUUUUCCAUAUAUUGUAGCUUUUGAAUUUUAAUACCCGGUCGAAACGAUGGCAAGUGCUGCCGAUAACUGGGUCAAAAAGGCGGAGGGAGGAUCAGGAAAUUUCUGCACUCGGUUAUCGAUCUGAGUAUCCCUAAGGAUAAGGAACCAGAGCCGACGUUAUUCAAAUUUUUCUCCAGAAAUAUUUAAUAUCAGCUUUAAAAUUAUCCAUGAUUCAUCUUUUAGCCCGGCGGAUGCAAGUUUGCUAAUUAAACUUAUUCGCAAAGGUCUAGUAGAAUCAAAGCUGGAUCUGGGAGUGAAGGAUCCUUCUUCGCCGCUAUACUUGGUUAAAACUUUCGAAGCUUUGCACAUGAAUUCGGAACUGCUUCAGGGAGUCUAUGCUAUGGGUUUCAACGCUCCUUCCAAGAUUCAGAAGACGGCUCAACCUACUCUGUUGGCCGAUCCGCCACAGAACAUAAUCGCCCAGAGUUGGUCGGGAACAAGAAAAACCACUGCCUUCGUGCUGGCAAUGCUCAAUCGAGUCGAUCCGUUGAAAAACUAUCCGCAGGCGAUUUGCCUUUCCCCACGUAUGAACUGGCAAUUCAGAAGGGGAAAGUAGCUGCAAAACGGCAAAGUUUUGUGCGGAAAUCGAACUUGGUUAAACCGUUCGCGGUGAGAAGAUCGUCAAAGGGGCGAAGCUGACUAAUCAUAUCAUCAUCGGAACAGCCGGGCGUUCGACCUUAAGAAGAUUACAAUUUUUGUACCGGAUGAGGCGGGCGUUAUGAUCGCUGUUCUUUUUAGCCACGUACGAGCGGGAGGUGAUGGGAUUCGCCCAGUACAUCGUAACCAAUCCGAUCAUGAUUCUUCUGGUGCGGGAGCAAGAAUCACUCGAUAACACCAAACACUACUACGUCAAAUGCCGCAACCAGGACGAGAAAUAUCAAGCAAUUUCAAACAUGUAUGGUGUGAUUACCGUCGGACAAGCGAUCAUUUUCUGUCAUAUGAUGUAUAGGACAGUUGUAAACUCCAAGUAAACUUAUUUUCGGCAUUGUUAAUCAAUCGAAACAGGCACGCAAAAUGGCCGGUUGGACCAGGAUAAUCACUCAGUAGCGGUACUGUCCGGUGAUCUAACGGCGGAGCAACGGUUGGCCGUUCUGGAUCGAUCCUGAGCCGGACUAGAGAAGGUAUUGAUUGCAACGAACGUUUUGUCUAGGGGUAUCGAUGUUGAACAGGUGACCAUUGUCAUCAACUUCGACCUGCCGAUGGAUUAGCAGGGACGAGCCGAUUGCGAAACGUAUCUACAUCGAAUUAGACGCACCGGUAGAUUCGAACGGAAUCACCAUCAACCUAGUGGGCAGUGAUCGAAGCAUGAUGAUUUGCAGAUCAAUCGAAAAACACUUCCGGAAAAAGACCAGCUACUGGUGAAAGGCAUA